CAACUCGCCUGCAUGAAGUCGGAAUUGCUAGUAAUCGUAGGUCAGCAUACUACGGUGAAUACGUUCCCGGGCCUUGUACACACCGCCCGUCACACCAUGGGAGUCGGUAACACCCGAAGUCUGUAGCCUGACGCAAGAGGGCGCAGCCGAAGGUGGGAUUGAUGACUGGGGUGAAGUCGUAACAAGGUAAC
rnacentral:rRNA from 1 species